AUACCCACCUGGAGAAGGGGAAUGCCUGGAUGAUAGUAGGGCAGAGAAGAUGAUCCCUUGCCUUCACGAAGGUGCUCUGGGGUUGCCCUCCCGCUCCACAGCAUGUGUGCUGCUUCGCUUCACCUCCCUUCCUGCAGCAAAUGGGUUUGACUAAACCCACAACCAUUCCUCCACUCCCGUCCUUUAGUGAAAUGUGGAUACAGAAGAAUGAUUCAUCAGAGCGGAUGGAUCCAGGCGUUGGGAAAACGAGAGGAUGUUUGGUUUGGUUUGUGUGGAAGGGGUGGGAUCCUCUUGGGAACUCUGUAUGAAACAGUGAAUGGGAUGUCCUUGGAUAAUCAAAGACAAUGAGGAAAAGUGGGGUCAAUGAUCCAUUCAACAAAAGCAUAAGGCAAAUGAUACAUUGAGCAGCUCCAGAAAGUGGUAAUUUGACAACAGUCUGCUGCAGAGAGCCAUCUGGCCUGAGGAGAAAGCGGGAGCACCAGUCUGUGCAGUGGGUACCUCAGGGACAGGAGCUGAGCUCUGGGGGCUUCCAGCAUGCAUGGCUUGGCCUCUACAGAGCCUCGCUCUAUGUAUACACACAUAGUGAGGCAUCGGAAUGAAAGGAGUGAGAGGCAUUGCUGACCUCUAAAUGUAGGAAAAAAUCUUCUAUGGAGCCUAAAGAGUAGUUGUGUUCACGUGUGACUCGUUUUCCAGGAGCUGAUUAACUGGAUAUGGGCUUGGUGAGUUGAUGUAGAGGAAUAUUGCACAUAGUUAUUCAGGGUCAGGGCUUUGGCAUGUUGUGUUACUCUUUUCCAUUUGCAAGAGGCAAAAAUAUGAGAGUGGAGCUCAAAAAACCUGUGUAAAUAAGAAAUAAGAAAGGAAAAAUAAAACUGCAGGGAACGGUUUCCUCCCAUGUGCUUUGCUCUGCCUUUUUUAGGCAAAUCUGCUGCUCACCCUCACAACCUCCAAGCUCUCCCUAAGCUUGAGCAUCUCAGCAAGCCAGGAACCAGUUCAUGCUCAGGCUACCACCUGGGGAUGAUCCGAUUUCCAUGGCACGGAGGAUUCCUUUGUAAAAUCAAUCCGCAGCAGUGGCCAGGCUGUGCCAACUUGUAGCAGGGCUCUGGAGAGGAUGCAGUGAAAAUAUUUUGCAAAUCCUUUUUAUUCCUUGUUUACCAAAAGAGGUUAAGGCUUGGUUUUGAAGGAAACCAACAGUUUAUGGUCUUGGGAGGAUGCAUGAGAUUCAGAGCCCUGCCUACUCUGAGCAAUGACUGCCAUUUAGUUGGAAGGGCUAAUACUGGUCAGGCCAGGACCUCCUGCACAGAUGAGCCUCCAGCAGCAGCAAGCAGAGGCAGGGAGGGAGCUAAAGCAGGAAUCAGCAGUUAGGUGAUGGUAGGAUGCUUUAUUCAAAAUAGAUGUGCUCUCCAGGCUACCAGACAAGGAAGGAAAUUGGAAAAAUAGUCUCUUACAUGUGGGUUUUGGGCCUUGUUGCAAGGAGUCAGGGUAGGUUUAACUGUCCUGUUGGAAAAGGGCCAUGAGAACAGUCUCUUGCAGGGUGCCUGAGGUUUCCUCACCAGGGGGCCUGGCUGGAGCUGGCAGUGUGGGCAGGGAGGAAGGAGCAGGGAGACACAGGCAUGUUUUCCAGUGCUCCCAGUGCCCCUGCAUGGGCUGGUGUGCAGCCAGGUGGGGCUCCCUCCACCAGACCUGCUUUCCCAUGUCCUGCUGCCGUCCAGACCUCAACUUUGCUUUGGGGUUGCAAGAGCAGCUGCAGCCCCUCUGCUUGAGAGGGCACAGGCACUCCUGAAGCCUCUGAUAGACCUGGCUGCUCUGGCUCUGUCAACAGCCUCAGUGUGCUGGCCCAUGGCCCUUUGCCAUGGUGGUGGUGUCUCCAAGCCCAGCAGUGAGGAAAGCUCAGGCUCUGUCCAGGCACAGCUCAGGGGUGAGCGUGUUCCCAAAGGAGAUGAAUGCAGCCACCUUGCUCAGGAGGACAAGAAAGCUCAGCUCUGCAUGGAUGGGCUGAGGUGUAGAGGGAGCCUCAGGGCAAAGGAAAGGCUCUAGCCCACUUGGUUUACUAAUGCCGAUGAAUGUGAAAAGGUGGUGAUGUCCAGAUUAACAUCUGCUUGGGAGUCAAAUUGGAGCUGGGGGAUCUUCUGUCACUUAUUCUAGGCUAAAAAAUAUUGUGUAUUCCCCCUCAUCCUACCAUAACUGUGAAAAGCCCCUAGCAGCAUGGGGAGGGAAUUAAUCAAACUAAAGGUGGAAUGGAGGUUUUAUAGCAGCAUGCUCAUUUCUGCCUGAGGUGGAGAGCUCUUGCACUGCCUCCAGGAGAGUCCUGGCCAUUGCAAUGAAGACAGGGAGGGUCCAGCACAGGUGAUGGAUAGUAAAGAGAACAAGAAGGAAGGAGGAAAGGCUUGCUUGGUGAAGUGAACAGUUCAUUUAUUCAGCAGAUGGUGCCAAGGCACAGAACUCUUGUUUUGCGCUUGGCAUUGGUAGAGAGUGCUGGGAACGUGAGCUACUGCUGAGCAAACCCCACUGCUGACCAUGAUGGAGCACUCCAAGUGAUCGCACACACGUGCUCGGGGUGCAUUGGGUAAGGGUGCUGGCAGCCAGAGCUCCCAUUUGAGCAAACCCUGGUUCUGCUGAACACACUCCAGUGAUUCUGUGUUUGAGGCUGUUACAUGGGAGCUUGGAGAACGCGAUCUCAUUACAAACAUUGACCUAGAUGGUUGCACUGGGACUGCAGCUCUGCAGCAUGGAGGCAGAAACUGCCUGCUUAUAUUUACACGUUCACUGAUACCAAUUCCUUCUCUUCCCCUUCUGCUCUUUUCUUCCCAGCAGUUGUUCUUGGUGUUUUGUACCUGGCUGGUGGCCUGAGGCCUCAGCUGUCCACCACAGUUCUCACCUGCACAGCCCAGUGUCCUGUGCAGCAGUGCCAGGCUUGGAAGGUAUCCAAAGGAGCAGAGCCCUGCAGCUGGGGACCAUGCACUUGGGGGGCAGCUCUGCCAGCUGGGGACACUGGGAAACCUCACCAGAUAAAUAUCACCGUUGUCCUGCAUCCAUCCUUGGGGACUAUUUCCAGCUGGAUCAGUUCUCCAGCUUAUUCCUCACAAGGAAUACUGGGACAAGGAGCUGAGACUGCAGUGCCACCACAGUGAAGCUGUCACUUGAAGGAGAUGCAGCUGGAAGCUGGGCUGCACACCUACCUCUGGAUCCCGGUGCUACCAAAAUCGAAGUCAGGCUGCACGUGUAUAUAUCAAAUUGCUGGAACGAAGGAGAAAUUCACUUUCCUGCUGCCAGUCUUUCUGGCAUUCAAUCUUCUGUGUCUGCUUUCAGCUGAGGGUUGCAGAGGAGCAAUGGAGGCAGUGGGGCAGGUGGAAGGGCUGCAGCUCCCCUGGGAGAGCAUCGCAUGUGUGAGACGAGCUGUGAGAGUGUCUGGGCAAUAAGCAUCAGUGCACGAACCAGAGAGAGGAGACUGGAAUGUAAAAAGGAAACGAGUACAUGGAAAUUCAGAACUCUCCCCAGACGAAAAACAGAGGGGAGAGGGUUUUUUUGGCAACUGAAGUUGUAAAAAAAGGUUCUGAUUUUCUUCCUUGUUUCAAACUUCGCAAAUUGCACCAAGCUCUAGUCACAGAGCUGCAUCCUACAUCCUCUACUGAACCCCGAAUGGGUCAGCCUGGAAGAAGCCAU